AUGCUUAGCAGCCUCCCGGGCCAGUGCUCACUAGAUGCUAUCCAAUCUACCUCUUCCUCAAUUGUGAAUAACCAAAGAUGUCUCCAGAAAUUGCCAGAUGUCCCCUGGAGUGGGGAGAUAACCCUGGCUGAGGUCGAUACGUGCAUUUCCUCUGGUUCUGUUAACAUAAUGGGAAUUAAGCAUGUGCAUCGACUGAUAUAUCUCUCCAUAUGCUGGGAAUUUAAUUUCUCAGUCUAGGUGUGUCUUGGAUAAGGUACAGUAAUUAUUAUUACCCAUUAAUAUCAGAGUGCACGAAAAUACCCUGAGAAGUAAAUAUUUAAUAUUUCACACUCAUUGCCUUUUUUUAGUUUUUAAUCUACUGUGUGCAUAGCAAGCAAAUUAUAUGUCUUUUCUUGCACCAUUCUUAAAAUUAAGCUCUUUUAAUUUUGAAUAGCAUCUGGUUGUCAAACACACACCAUUUUAUUUUCUUACAUUGAGUCUCAAGCAUUCCAGCCUCUCUAAGAAGGAGUCAACAUAUAUUAAUAGAUAUAGGUGAGUGCAAGAGAUCUUAUUUUAGAUUUUAAUUUUUGUUUCAAUUUUAAGAGCAUUAAUAUGUCGCCCCAGUGACUACACUUUUAAUUUAACCUACCGGGCUUGCAUUCUCACAUUUCAAAACUGACGAAUAGGGAAGGUGGGAAGGCUUUAUGUAGUGUUGGACUUGGCAUAACUCCUUUAAAAGCAACAUUACCCAUCUCUGGGUCUUGGAAUACCUUGCAAAGAGGAAAGCCCAACACAUAAUUUGGUUCUCCAAAUAAUUCUUGAACUAAUCAAAUCAAUCUGUACCUCAUAACUCCUCCAUUCCCUCUCUUGGCUUCCUUGUCUGUUGAUUUUGCAUCUUCCCUCUUCUGUCCCUGGUUUGACCCUCAAAUGUGAGCAUUUGUCUUCAGGGUUGUUCCUUUCUGUUCUGUCUGUGACUUACUCAAGUUUGUAAAGCUAAGUCAUAGCUGUGGCCACUACUUAAGACAUCAUUUACCCAAAAGCUCUAGAAGAGGUUCCAAUCAUCCAAAAUUUCCAUUAGCUUAGAUUUAGAAUUGUAGACUCAGUUGUGUCCAAAAGCCAGAUCAGUGAUAUAGGUAUGUGGAGUGUGCAGUGGGCAAGACAGUAGGGGUGGUGAGGAGUGUGGGGACCGGAGCAUUCAAGACCUGCCUAAAAGGGGAAGCGGCUCCAUCGUUUCUGCUCAAUGCUCUGCAGUGUGCACUCAGUGUUGCCAGAUAUUUUUGUUAAGAGAGAAGUCAUAAAUCUAGACUUGACUGAAAUAUUUCUAUUUUCUUUCCUUUUCCCCUCCCCUUUUAAAAAUUUGUAGUUAGUUCAUUUACAGCAGUAUCGUGUUUUAGGUGUACAGCACAGUGAUUCAAUCAUAUAUAUAUAUGUGUGUGUGUGUAUAUGUAUAUAUGAAAGUGUUAGUCAUGGACUGUAGCCCACCAGGAUCCUCUGUCCAUGGAUUUCUCCAGGCAAGGAUAUUGGAGUGGGUAGCCAUUCCCUUCUCCAGGGGGUCUUCUGGACCCAGGGAUUGAAUCCAGGUCUCUUGCAGGUGGAUUCUUUACUGUCUGAGCCACCAGGAAAGGCCAUUUAAAUAUAUACUUUUUGGAUUCUUUCCCCUUAUAGGUUAUUAUACACUACUGAGUAUAGUCUCCUAUGCCAUACUGUCUUCAAACGUGACAAUUAAUUUCUAAUUUUUAAAAAUGCUAUUGUGUAGCUAUCAGAGAAUUUUCAGACAAUAUCAGAGAAUUUUGAAAUUUGCCUGGAUAUUUGAUGAUGUGGUGGAAUUAGUGUUAGCUUUUUGGGCAUGCUGUUGGCAUGAAAGUUACAUUUUUUAAACUCUUCUUGUAUUUUUAGAAAUACUCACUGAACUCUUUGCAGAUGUAUGACACAGUGUUGGAGAUUUGUUUCAAAAUGAUCCAGAGGUUAGAGUGGGGAUAUGGGAAUCAGUGAAACAGAGGUAUAAAUGAAAUGACUUUGACCCUGGAUAAUGGUUGGAUACGUGCAUAUUUAAGUUUGUAUAUGUUUGAAGUUUGGUUGUGUCUUUUCUAAGAAAUAUAUGAUUUUUGCACAAAUUCCAAAUGUGUCAUAUGUUGAGAAAAAGAUCAGUUUUCCUUUUUUUAAAAAAAAUUUAAUAAAUUUAUUUUUUGACUGAAUGAUAAUUACUUUACAGAAUUUUGUUUUUUGUCAAACCUCAACAUGAAUCAGCCAUAGGUAUACAUAUGUCCCCUACCUCUUGAAAUUUUGUCACCUUUCUUACUUACAUUUUCUUUCUUUUCUAUUGGAAUUGGAAUCUGCUUGUUUAUCCCUUCCUCUCUGGACUGUGAGCUCCUUGAGGACAAUUAAUGGUUUGGCAUCGCAGUGCUGGGCCAGUGCCUGUGUGGGUAGACAGCCUUUCAUUUAUUCAGAGAUAUUUGUUGAGCCUCUUACUAUGUAGCAAUUUUUAGAUAUUAUUUCUUCUAGUUACUUCAGUUCUACUUUUUUGUUGUUGUUGAAAGUGAGAUGGUCUUACUCUUCUGAACGAGGAGCAUCAUAUUCCAGCUAUCCUUUGGGGGCCUUGUUUUCUUACUCUUGGCUUAUGUACGCACUGAUCCAGAGCCUCAUGGGCUGGUUGAUUUUGAUCUUCUUUUUCUUUCGUCUCCUUCUUAGCACACCUGAAAGUGAUGGAUGAAGGGCUUCUUGGAAUUCCUAUUGAUUUUUCCCAACCUCAGAUUUGAUAUCCUGCCUUGACAAGCUCGCUUCCUUUGCUCUUUUAUUCAGCAGAGAUUUGUCGACCACCUGCUAUAUGUCAGGCCAUGUUCUAGACUGUUAGAACCUCGUUGUAAACAA
ensembl:lincRNA